GGACUCAGUGGUAGAGCAUUUGCUUUGCAUGCAAAACGCCCAGGUUCAAUUCCUGGCAUCUCCA
rnacentral:tRNA from 1 species